rnacentral:rRNA from 2 species
CCCGGUGAAGUUUUAACGGCCGCAGUUAGAAGCUGUGCUAAGGUAGCGUAGUAAGUUGUCCUUUAAAUGGGGAAAGGAAUGAAUGGUUUGACGUGGGGGAAUCUGUCUCUUACAGAUAAGUAAAAGUUUUCUUCUUAGUGAAAAGCCUAAGAUUAAAUUAAAAGACGAGAAGACCCUUUCGAGCUUGAUUAUGCUUGCAAAAAAUUGUAAGUUAAAGUUUGGUUGGGGCAACCUAGGAGCAAAAAAAGACUCCUUGAAGUUAUGGGGAUCCAGAAUUUUUGAAUAGAGAAAAAGCUACCGUAGGGAUAACAGCGUUAUCUUUUCUGAGAGAACAUAUUGAAGAAAAG